rnacentral:rRNA from 1 species
GAUGAACGCUGGCGGCGUGCCUAAUACAUGCAAGUCGAGCGAACAGACGAGGAGCUUGCUCCUCUGACGUUAGCGGCGGACGGGUGAGUAACACGUGGAUAACCUACCUAUAAGUCUGGGAUAAUUUCGGGAAACCGGAGCUAAUACCGGAUAAUAUAUUGAACCGCAUGGUUCAAUAGUGAAAGACGGCUUUGCUGUCACUUCUAGAUGGUUCCGCGCCGCAUUAGCUAGUUGGUAAGGUAACGGCUUACCAAGGCAACGAUGCGUAGCCGACCUGAGAGGGUGAUCGGCCACACUGGAACUGAGACACGGUCCAGACUCCUACGGGAGGCAGCAGUAGGGAAUCGUCCGCAAUGGGCGAAAGCUUGACGGAGCAACGCCGCGUGAGUGAUGAAGGUCUUCGGAUCGUAAAACUCUGUUAUUAGGGAAGAACAAAUGUGUAAGUAACUAUGCACGUCUUGACGGUACCUAAUCAGAAAGCCACGGCUAACUACGUG